rnacentral:rRNA from 1 species
CGGCCAGGUCGGUCCGUCGGGAAAUCCACUCGCCCAACGAGUGGGCGUCCGGCGGAUACCGCCUGGCUUGGGACCGGGAGACCAGAGGGGUACGUCCGGGGUAGGAGUGAAAUCCUGUAAUCCUGGACGGACCAUCGGUGGCGAAAGCGCCUCUGGAGAACGGAUCCGACGGUGAGGGACGAAAGCUAGGGUCUCGAACCGGAUUAGAUACCCGGGUAGUCCUAGCUGUAAACGAUGCUCACUAGGUGUGACGCAGGCUACGAGCCUGCGUUGUGCCGUAGGGAAGCCGUGAAGUGAGCCGCCUGGGAA